rnacentral:rRNA from 1 species
AACGAACGCUGGCGGCAGGCCUAACACAUUCAAGUCGAACGCUCCAGCAAUGGAGAGUGGCAGACGGGUGAGUAACACGUGGGAACCUUCCCUUUGGUUCGGAAUAGCCCAGGGAAACUUGGGGUAAUACCGGAUAAGCUCUUGCGGGGAAAAAUUAAUCGCCGAAGGAUGGGCCCGCGUCGGAUUAGCUAGUUGGUGGGGUAACGGCCUACCAAGGCGACGAUCCGUAGCUGGUCUGAGAGGAUGAUCAGUCUCACUGGGACUGAGACACGGGCCAGAAUCCUACGGGAGGCAGCAGUGGGGAAUAUUGGACAAUGGGCGCAAGCCUGAUCCAGCCAUGCCGCGUGAGUGACGAAGGCCUUAGGGUUGUAAAGCUCUUUUGGCGGGGAAGAUAAUGACGGUACCCGCAGAAUAAGCUCCGGCUAACAUCGUGCCAGCCGCCGCGGUAAUAC